AGAUGGUUCUAGGGUUUUGACUCUAGAAUUUGUGUGAAAAAAAUACAAAAGUGAGUCUUGUCUAAUCUCCUACACCACUACCUCCUCGUUAAGCUUCAUCUUCUGAUCUAAAAGAGUUCAGGUGAUUCGAAGAAAAGAGCUUGGAUCAACCAUCCAAAGCCUUUGAUGCGAGCUAGCAGUCCUGAAAAGGAAGAUCCGAUCAGAGCUUCGAGUAGAUGAUCUGUAGAGGCUGGACGAUCUAUGUGACUACUCG
rnacentral:lncRNA from 1 species